GAUGAACGCUGGCGGCGUGCCUAAUACAUGCAAGUCGAGCGAACAGACGAGGAGCUUGCUCCUUCGACGUUAGCGGCGGACGGGUGAGUAACACGUAGGUAACCUACCUAUAAGACUGGGAUAACUUCGGGAAACCGGAGCUAAUACCGGAUAAUAUUUCGAACCGCAUGGUUCGAUAGUGAAAGAUGGCUUUGCUAUCACUUAUAGAUGGACCUGCGCCGUAUUAGCUAGUUGGUAAGGUAACGGCUUACCAAGGCAACGAUACGUAGCCGACCUGAGAGCGUGAUCGGCCACACUGGAACUGAGGCACGGUCCAGACUCCUACGGGGGGCAGCAGUAGGGAAUCUUCCGCAAUGGGCGAAAGCCUGACGGAGCAACGCCGCGUGAGUGAUGAAGGUCUUCGGAUCGUAAAACUCUGUUAUUAGGGAAGAACAAACGUGUAAGUAACUGUGCACGUCUUGACGGUACCUAAUCAGAAAGCCACGGCUAACUACGUG
rnacentral:rRNA from 1 species